GCUCACAGUGGUUUUCUCUGGGCAACAGGAUUAUAAGUGAUUGUUUUUGUUUUUUAUUAAUGCGUUUCUGGAUUUUCUAUGAUAUUCAUGACUCUAAAAUUUUGUGUGUUCUCUCUGUUUUCAAAGAAAUGCUGAUCCAUGGGUGAGAAGGCAGAGCCAAUGGUGGGGGAGGCAGCUGCAAAUAUACUGAGGGGGCAGAGUUCUUGUUUCCCCUGCAAAUAUACUGGUGGGAGAGGACUCCCCUGCCUUUGCAAAGACCCCCACCCCCUUCGCAAGCCCUCCUACGGCCCACCUCUGCUCUGAGCCCACCUCUGCUUUCUCGCCAAGGCUACCUUGAGGCCUUGAGAUUAGGAAAGGCUCUUAAGAGCCCUUCCAUGCCUCUGAAAUGACCAGAAGUGUCAGCUAGCCCUCUGCCUGGACCCCUGUCCCCCAGUAGCCUCCCCACUCAGGUGUUGAAGCCUCCCCAGCCCCCUGCUUUCCAUCUGUGGGAGGAGACCCUGGACUUUCCAGGCAGUGAGAAAAAUGUGUGUCCCACAAACCAGGUCCUGACUUCCUUAUUCUCCCCGUUGCCCCACCCCCACCCCUACAAGAGCUCCAUUCAAUCGUCUCUCAGGACCUGCCCUGAGAUCUGAGACACUCUCAGGCAACAAUAACAGGUCAGAUGGAAAAGUAUUUAUUAACGUUUCAAAUAGAGGAGUUCUAGAAAGGCAACCCUAAAGAAGGCCUUUCAUGGCAGCAUUUCAGGCAGUGGUCAGGGCAGUCUGUUGAGAAACGGAGGGUGUCACGCUUCCCUUGCUGCCCUCCGCCAGAACAGAACCAACUUUCUAUUGCGUUUCAAAGCAGGGCCAACCCAGGUCAGCCAGGUCACUGCCCAAGGCUACCUCCGAGGAGAAGCUAAUCUAACAAGGAUCUAGCAGCACCAGAGGGAGGAACCGGUUAUUGAGAUGUAAAAUUGGGUUAAAGUAAAUGAAUCCAGCCCUCUGCUCUACUCCCCAGGCCUGAGGAACCUCUGGCUGCAGUGGACAGACCCUGUGGGUGGUAAACAGACCCAAGCCCAGAAGUUUAAAACUCCUAUGUUCUGCGCGUAGCCGGCUCCUAAUCUGCUGUGUGAUGUUAGGCAAAAUUCUAAACCUCUCUGAGCCUUGUGACACGGCUGGCAACGUGAAGAGCUUGGACUGGGUGGAUCUAAAGCCUCCUCCAGCUCCAAUAUGCUGUGAUGUCCCCUGCCCUUCCCUCUUCCACCCCCUCCCUCACUCCCUUUCCCUCACACACAGACACACACACACACACACCCCAGUCCCAAAGAUCGAAUCCAAGAGAAAGGCAGAGUUUGGGUCAACUCAGUCCAGAGACUUCUGGGAACUGCAAUGAACCUACAGCUUGUAUUUGGCCAACUGUCUUAGGGACUGAAAGAGCUUCUCUUCCCAGGUCAACCAAAGGUCCAGGCCUAGAUAAAAGGACUGCCCCACGCUCAGCGAGUUGAGUUGCUCAGCCCGCGUCCAGGAUGAACCAAGGCUCCUCGCUGACGCUCCAGUUUCAAAACAAAGCUUUGAAAGAGAACUGCAUUCAGUGGAAAAUCCCCCAGUAACAAGGCCCCUGGGAGCAUUCAGGGAACACCAUCUGUCAAGCAUCACUCCCACAACCUGUGACCAGAACAGCCUUUCAGUGUCAAUACCAAUCGCGAUCAUCACAUCCUAUGUCUUUAGACAGUGGUCCUGGACCCUGUAAAGCCCUUCAUCUGGGCUCAGUUUGGCCUCAUACGACUCUCUGAAUGAUGCACAGAUUUGGGGACCACUGCCCACCAUGCCAUCUGCACAGAAUCUGGGAAUCCUGGAAACUGCAGGCUUAGAAGGAUCAUCAGAGCUCCAGGAGGACACUCACCUGCCCAGCACAAGUUGUCUCUCUGUGGCGUCCACAACCGCUGAGGACACGGAUGGUGACGCAGUGACAGAGACCACCAGUAGUCACAGCUUGAAUGAAGGAGCAGCAUCGUUCUCACAUAACACUCCAGGGCUGAUAGGGCAGCUCCUUAGGCUUGGGGACACAGGACUCUUCUGCUUGAAUUUGUAGGGUCUACUGAUGUUUGGGCACCGCAGGAAACAGACUCCAAGCUGGAGGUCAGCGUGCAAGAUCCACACCUGUGGAAAGGGGUACCGGCUGGAUUGAGCAGAGGGAGGAGUCGGGCUGUGAUACGGGCACGGCCAAGGCUUCAGCCGACCCCUUGGAGACCCCUGAGGCUGUGAUAUCCUUUCGGGGUUUUUCAAACCGAGACGAGGGAGCCAAGCCUUUAUAUACACACACAAGGACUAGUCGUUGGAUACUGGCUGCCCAUGGGAGGGGUUAUGACCUUGGUCCAGAAGACUCUCUUCAGCUGAGGGCGAUUCUCAGCAUUGGCUGAUAGCUGAGGGUGGGCAGCUGUGGGAAUGAGCCCUUCGCUCCUGAAAGGUAAUCUGAGCAGCACAUCACAGCACCCACUAUGAGACUGUUACAUGUUGAAUUGUGCUCCACCCCCCCCCAAAAGAAAAUCCGUAUGUUGAAGUUCUAACCCCCAGUACCUCAGAAUGUAAACUGAUUUGGAAAUAGA